rnacentral:lncRNA from 1 species
CAUUAGAAUGAUGCAAAAAAUCUCAUACAAAAAUACUUUAUGUAUGGAGAAAGAUGAUGGCAUGAAGAGAAGAGUCCAACUCAAUUUGAACUCUAAAUUUUUAUUCAAAUUCAAACCUAUUUGAACUCAAAUUUAAACCAACCAAUUUUUAAUUCAAAAGGAUUUAGAUGUAAAUAUGAAAAAGCUUCUAGGCAUAAAAAAAUUUAUAUAAAAAUUUUUUUUCGCAUGAAGAAUAAUAGGGGGC